CCUGGCUCAGGACGAACGCUGGCGGCGUGCCUAAUACAUGCAAGUCGAACGAACUCUGGUAUUGAUUGGUGCUUGCAUCAUGAUUUACAUUUGAGUGAGUGGCGAACUGGUGAGUAACACGUGGGAAACCUGCCCAGAAGCGGGGGAUAACACCUGGAAACAGAUGCUAAUACCGCAUAACAACUUGGACCGCAUGGUCCGAGCUUGAAAGAUGGCUUCGGCUAUCACUUUUGGAUGGUCCCGCGGCGUAUUAGCUAGAUGGUGGGGUAACGGCUCACCAUGGCAAUGAUACGUAGCCGACCUGAGAGGGUAAUCGGCCACAUUGGGACUGAGACACGGCCCAAACUCCUACGGGAGGCAGCAGUAGGGAAUCUUCCACAAUGGACGAAAGUCUGAUGGAGCAACGCCGCGUGAGUGAAGAAGGGUUUCGGCUCGUAAAACUCUGUUGUUAAAGAAGAACAUAUCUGAGAGUAACUGUUCAGGUAUUGACGGUAUUUAACCAGAAA
rnacentral:rRNA from 2 species